CAGUAGCCGCGGGAAUACGGAGGGGGCUAGCGUUGUUCGGAAUUACUGGGCGUAAAGCGCACGUAGGCGGCUAUGUAAGUUAGAGGUGAAAGCCUGGAGCUCAACUCCAGAAUUGCCUUUAAGACUGCGUGGCUAGCAGGUGAGAGAGGUGAGUGGAAUUCCGAGUGUAGAGGUGAAAUUCGUAGAUAUUCGGAAGAACACCAGUGGCGAAGGCGGCUCACUGGCUCUUACUGGACGCUGAGGUGCGAAAGCGUGGGGAGCAAACAGGAUUAGAUACCCCCGUAGUCCCUGUCUCUUAUAC
rnacentral:rRNA from 1 species